CUUCAAUACAGAGCUCAAAAUUUUACAAAAUUGUUUUGUUCGAAUCUAUUGAGUACAAAAUAUACUAAUUUACGCUCAAACAUGGACGAGCUUUAUCCGGUAAUACGCGAGUUUAUGGUCGUUUGUAUAACAGCAUUUAUUGACGGCCUGAACAUUGCCAUAAACUUUUGGAGUGGCAUGGACGCGUACACCCAGCAGCCGAAAGACUGCAAUUGCAACUGCUCUGAACCCCCAAGCGACAUGCAGCAGCAGGAACCAGCUGUUGAUGAGCUAUAAACGGAGGACAGGCCACGCCACAAAGUUUGACGGAGUAGCAUCAAAAGCGCGCCAACAUUUGCUUUGAUCCGGAACAGGGAGCAGCGGAAGGUCUGACCAGAACCACGAUGGAUUCGAAUAAGUGGACACCAUCUUUCAUACAAAACUUUAGACUAAACUUUCGACUAAACCACAGGAAAAAAAAAGAAUAAAAUAAAAAUUAAUA